AUGGACAAAAAUCCCAUUAGCUCAUUUAUAUGGGAGUGAGCAUUUGCUUAUUUUUCUUUCACUUCACUGGCAGUUUUUGAAAGUGAAACCAUGGUGAAUUUAAAGUUUACAGUUUAUCGUAAAUGUGUUGUUUGGGAGCAAAAGUUUUUUAAGAGCUUAUUCAAAUUUGAAGUCAGGAUUUAUACCACUUUUGUUACAGCUGUGGCUGUAACUGUUCGUAUUGAGGAGAUCACAUUUUCUCAGCUCAUUCAUGUCAUCAAAAUCCUAGAAGAAUAUACAGUAAACUGUAUGACAAAUCUUUCCCCAAGCUGUUACUAUUUUAAGCAUUUGCAUAAUUGUGCAAAAUAAUUUUUCUCGCUGCAACAUUGUCCUCUAUGCAUUCAAUAAUUAUACGUUAUUUUCCUCAGAGCGUAUUAACCUUUAGAUUUAAAAAUGUAAUCCUACAUAUUCCAAAUAAAAACCUACAUCCAGAUAUUUUUUGCAAAUUUAUUUAAAAACCUUGAAGGGAAUUCAUGAGCAUACAACCUAGAGCUUAUGACAUCUGUUUUUACAUUUUUACAUUUUCAAUUUUAACCAUUACAAAGUAAAACUUUCUGUAACUGGUGGUUUCCUAGCCAUAAGAUUGUCUUUUUUUAUCUGAUAGAUCUCUACCAGAACAUGCAAGUGUGACCAACUCAAGAGGUGAGCUGUCAUUUUGUCAUUUUCUGUAAAAUACUGACAUCAUGUUCUGAAAAAGGAGGUAAUUUUUUUAUUUUAAUUGUGAUUAAAGGUAUCCAUCCCACACCGGGUAUGUUAAUUGUCUGCUCUGAUAAUAGCAUACGCCUGCCUAAAAGCUAUCAGAUUAUCUGUGUUCGGUGAGGAUACUUCUCUCCGCUUCUCCACUAAGCAUGCAGACGCUGUUGGACCCCACAACCUCAUUACCUGCAGAGAGGGGCCUGCCAUAGAAUUACACCAAAAUACACAGUGAUGGACGGUGAAGACAUCAUAGAGGACUGUGCAGAUAUUUUAGUGAAGCCUUCAGUUUAGCUUAGCCUUCAUUACAUCUAUUUUGUGUUUCUAUGGGACAUUGUUCUUCCUUGAAGGAUUGGUUGUCAAUAUGAAAGAAAAAUACUCUCUAUAUAAAAGAUAAAAUAAUGUACAAGAUUCUAUCCCAGCCUUAAUGUGUGGAGCAAUGUAGGGGUCUGCUAAUUCAUUUGCAUAUGCAUUUAUUGACUCUUUCACGUUAUGUAUUUGUUGAUGUAUUUAUUAAUGUGAGUGAUUUAUGCAGUUAGAAUUAUUUAAUCACAAUAACUUAUUAAUGUUCACUUAUUAACUUAUGAUUGCUGUAAAAGCAUGAUUUUUUUCUAAAACUUUUCAUUUAAAUAGAAAAUAAAAGUUCUUAA